rnacentral:rRNA from 1 species
AACGAACGCUGGCGGCGCGCCUAAUACAUGCAAGUCGAGCGAGAAGGUGUAGCAAUACACUUGUAAAGCGGCGAACGGGUGAGGAAUACAUGGGUAAUCUACCAUCGAGUGGGGAAUAACCAACCGAAAGGUUGGCUAAUACCGCGUACGCCUCCGAGUCUUCGGGUUCGGAGGGAAAGCUGCACUGUGAGUGUAGCGCUCUUUGAUGAGCUCAUGUCCUAUCAGCUUGUUGGUAGGGUAACGGCCUACCAAGGCUUUGACAGGUAGCUGGUCUGAGAGGACGAUCAGCCACACUGGCACUGCGACACGGGCCAGACUCCUACGGGAGGCAGCAGUAAGGAAUAUUGCGCAAUGGGCGAAAGCCUGACGCAGCGACGCCGCGUGGGGGAUGAAGGUCUUCGGAUUGUAAACCCCUUUCGGGAGGGAAGAUGGAGCGAGCAAUCGUUCGGACGGUACCUCCAGAAGCAGCCACGGCCAACUUCGUGCCAGC